AACGAGGUGAAGCGGGAUCGGAAGGAAGCGAGUCGGGUGGAGCGUUACACAGCUCAAAGGACCGGAGUGAAGUAGGGUCAGAGGGCAAGGAGCCGGGGUCAGGAGAAAUUAUCGCCGUGUAAAGACGGAAAACCAGGAAGGGUCCGUCCUGCAUGCCCACCGCUGUGAUCAGACUCCACACUUCGUUUGUACAACACGGGGAGCCAUCGCUUUCAUCAACGGCAGGGGCAUCCUGCAAAUCUGGGAAGUCAUUUUCCUUCUGGGACUGCGACGAGUUGGUUUGGACAUGCUGGAUGCCCUAGUUGCUAGUCAUGUGAUAUUUAGGAUGAAUUUCCCGCACACAACACUGAGAUGAUUCUUUAUGGCAAUGCUAAUAACUCCAUAAGCUUGAAUUAGUCAGAGUGUCCAGCAGUGUGAUUAAGACCAAGCUAUUCUAUUAUUUACCAUGAUAAAGAGUAAGAGUGAUUGUAGACUGAGCUAAGAUAACAUACAAAUGGGUAAUAUGUGGCUGCCUGAAAACAUUAUAUUGUGCAAAAAACUAGAACUGUUUAAAAAAAGUAAAUACAUUUUUUUUUUUAUGGAUUCUAUGUUUUUGAGGACUUGGCUUUGGCUUGCGUCCUGGGCUGAGUGGUGCCAGCCGGCAGCCGGCCCCGGCAUACAGGACUUAUAAAGCUGAGUAACUCUGUACUAGGGUGAUAUUUGUCAUCUUAGUACUACUUCUGUGUACCGUACAAAAUGCUCUGUUCAUACAAACCUAAUUAUAUCUGUGUCUUCUUAUCUAUCCAUCUUAAACGGCUGUUUAUUCAUAGUAUUUAUAUCAUUAGAAGUAUCACCGGGAUUAUAUAAAUGAGGAAAAAUAGUUUCAUUUGCUUUUCUUCUUAAUACUCAAAGUAAAUGCGAUUAACAAUGAUAAAUGCCUUCAAGCCCACGAUUAUAUUAAGUCCGUAUCAUGAGAGUCUAGUAAAUUGAGCACCAUACUGACUAGAACAUAAUGGACGUCUGAAAAGAUAAUCCUUUAAAUACAGGUGAUGACCGCUUAUUACAAAGUAACAUCAAAGCGAAACUGACAAUUUCCACCUGAAACCAAUUUUU